CUUGUACCACACGAGAGUCGAAGAAGAAUUGUAACCGUAGCAUCGCGCUGCUUUGUACGGUUGAUGUUGAAGAGGAGAUAACGGAAGUAGCAAAAGGAUCCGGAAGGAAGUUAUAUCGUAAGGCAGGAGGAAAACUAUUUGAUUUUUGAGCUGCUCCGAAAAGCUGCUGCAAAAUAAAUAACGUACCCGAACAACUAGACUACGAUGUAACGUAAAAUUUGUGUAUGUGCGGAAAUGCAAACCCUCUAUAAGCGAAAUAAUUAGUUUUAGAUUUAGAUUAGAAAUAGAUGUAUAGCUUUCAAACAAGAGUCUCAAGCAUA